GACGAACGCUGGCGGCGUGCUUAACACAUGCAAGUCGAACGGAAAGGCCCUGCUUUUGUGGGGUGCUCGAGUGGCGAACGGGUGAGUAACACGUGAGUACCUGCCCUUGACUUUGGGAUAACUUCAGGAAACUGGGGCUAAUACCGGAUAGGAGCUCCUGCUGCAUGGUGGGGGUUGGAAAGUUUCGGCGGUUGGGGAUGGACUCGCGGCUUAUCAGCUUGUUGGUGGGGUAGUGGCUUACCAAGGCUUUGACGGGUAGCCGGCCUGAGAGGGUGACCGGCCACAUUGGGACUGAGAUACGGCCCAGACUCCUACGGGAGGCAGCAGUGGGGGAUAUUGCACAAUGGGCGGAAGCCUGAUGCAGCAACGCCGCGUGCGGGAUGACGGCCUUCGGGUUGUAAACCGCUUUCGCCUGUGACGAAGCGUGAGUGACGGUAAUGGGUAAAGAAGCACCGGCUAACUACGU
rnacentral:rRNA from 1 species